UACGUAGGGUGCAAGCGUUGUCCGGAAUUAUUGGGCGUAAAGAGCUCGUAGGCGGUUUGUCGCGUCUGCUGUGAAAACCCGAGGCUCAACCUCGGGCCUGCAGUGGGUACGGGCAGACUAGAGUGCGGUAGGGGAGAUUGGAAUUCCUGGUGUAGCGGUGGAAUGCGCAGAUAUCAGGAGGAACACCGGUGGCGAAGGCGGGUCUCUGGGCAGUAACUGACGCUGAGGAGCGAAAGCGUGGGUAGCAAACAGG
rnacentral:rRNA from 1 species